rnacentral:rRNA from 1 species
UACGGAGGGGGGCUAGCGUUGUUCGGAAUUACUGGGCGUAAAGCGCACGUAGGCGGCUUUGUAAGUUAGAGGUGAAAGCCCAGGGCUUAACCCUGGAAUUGCCUUUAAGACUGCAUCGCUAGAAUCGUGGAGAGGUGAGUGGAAUUCCGAGUGUAGAGAUGAAAUUCGUAGAUAUUCGGAAGAACACCAGUGGCGAAGGCGACUCACUGGACACGUAUUGACGCUGAGGUGCGAAAGCGUGGGGAGCAAACAGG